AAUGAACGUUGGCGGCGUGGAUUAGGCAUGCAAGUCGCGCGAUUUCCUUCGGGGAAGAGCGGCGGAAGGGAGAGUAACGCGUAGAUACCUACCCUCGGGACCGGAAUAGCGACGGGAAACUGUCGGUAAUGCCGGAUAACGUCCCUGGACCAAAGGUGUGAAUCCGCCUGAGGAGGGGUCUGCGUCCUAUUAGCUAGUCGGCGGGGUAACGGCCCACCGCGGCGAAGAUGGGUACCGGGCGUGAGAGCGUGACCCGGCUCACUGGGACUGAGACACUGCCCAGACACCUACGGGUGGCUGCAGUCGAGAAUCUUCGGCAAUGAGCGCAAGCUUGACCGAGCGACGCCGCGGGCGGGAUGAAGGCUUUCGGGUUGUAAACCGCUGUCAGUGGGGAGGAAAUUCUUGGGGGAACUCCCCCUUGAUUGACCGAUCCGCAGAGGAAGGACGGGCUAAGUUCGUGCCAGCAGCCGCGGUAACAC
rnacentral:rRNA from 1 species